CCCGGGUUGACGCCAUUUUCCUGCCUCAGCCUCCCGAGUAGCUGGGACUACAGGCGACUGCUGCCACGCCCGGCUAAUUUUUUGUGUUUUUAGUAAAGACAAGGUUUCACCGUGUUAGCCAGGUCGAUCUCCUGACCUCGUGGUCCACCCGCCGAACGAGGUCGAUCUCCUGACGUCGUGGUUCACCCGCCUCGGCCUCCCAAAGUGCUGGGAUUACAGACGUGAGCCACCGCGCCCGGCAUGAAUAACAUAGUGUUCCUCCCCUCUGGAGGAUGCGGCGCUCAAGAUGCCAUGUUGGAAACAGAGAAACUGGACCCUGAUCUACCGGUGCCUUGACCUUGGACUGCCCAGCCUCCAGACCUGUGUGAAAUAAAUUUAUUUUCUUUAUAAAUUAUCCAAUCGGUGGUAUUCUGCUAUAGAAGCACAAAACAGACUAAGACAGGCAAGAAGAUUAUUCUGGCUGCAUAGAUGAGUUGGGAAAUAGUCUAUCUUCUAUUUUCUGGAAGAUUUUUUUGUAAUGUUAGCAUAAUCUGCUGUUCUAACGUUUGGUAGAACUUGCCCAUAAAACUGUAUGUGCCUGGGGAGGCAACAUUUCAACUUCAAUGUAUUUAAUAGUUAAAGGAAAAUUCAGUCUCUCUAUUCUCUUGAUUUUUUAAACCAAAUUAUACUAUUCUAAGUAUUUGUUUAACCUAAAUUUUAAAAUUUAGAAUAUAAAGCUUUUGACGAAAUUCUCAGUGUAUUUUAAACCUCUGUUUCAUCUAUAAUUAUGGUUCAUUUACAUUCCUAAUACUAUUUUUUCUUCUUUCUUUUUAUCUUCAUCAGUUUUACCAUAGUCUUUCCUAAGAACCCAAUUUUGGCUUUGUUGACCUUUUCUAUUGUAUUUUUUGUUGUUGGUUGUGGUGAUCUUGAGUUCUGGCCUUAUCUUUAUGUCUUUACUUCUCUCCUUGAGCUAAUUCUAUUGUUUGUUUGUUUUUGUUUUUUUACUUCUGAUUUUGGAAGUUUAGCUUGUUAAUUUUCAGCUAUUUUUCUUUUAUGUACUUUCUGUAUUGUUAUAUUUGACUAUUAAAAGUGUUUUUUUAAGCCUGUAUAUGCAAAGUGACCUGCAAACAUAGGAGCCAGGAUACCAAAGAAGGAAGCAGACGAAUCCAGCUUGUUAUAGGAUGGUUUUAUUUGGGAACUUAGGGACUGAAGGAUGGUCUUGGGCAGCUGUGAG
rnacentral:lncRNA from 1 species